rnacentral:rRNA from 1 species
AUUGAACGCUGGCGGCAGGCUUAACACAUGCAAGUCGAACGAGUGGCGGACGGGUGAGUAAUGCUUGGGAAUCUAGCUUAUGGAGGGGGAUAACUACGGGAAACUGUAGCUAAUACCGCGUACCAUAGGAUGAGCCCAAGUGGGAUUAGGUAGUUGGUGAGGUAAAGGCUCACCAAGCCGACGAUCUCUAGCUGGUCUGAGAGGAUGACCAGCCACACUGGGACUGAGACACGGCCCAGACUCCUACGGGAGGCAGCAGUGGGGAAUAUUGCGCAAUGGGGGCAACCUGACGCAGCCAUGCCGCGUGAAUGAAGAAGGCCUUCGGGUUGUAAAGUUCUUUAAGCGAGGAGGCGUUACUCGCAGAAUAAGCACCGGCUAACUCUGUGCCAGCAGCCGCGGUAAUUC